rnacentral:rRNA from 1 species
AUGGCAGCAUCGCAGGGCUCAAUAUCGAUGAUGCCGUCGAGGUGCACAGCAGAGACGGCGCGGGCCACGGUCGCGUUCGAGAUCGCCGGCUACAGCCUGCUCAAGGGCUUCGGUAGAGGCAAAUGCCUCCGUUCUCCGGCAUUCUCCAUCGGCGACUACGAAUGGUGCAUCCACUACUUCCCCGACGGAAGCAAAAGCGAGGCAGGCGAAGGAUACGUCUCCGUCUUCCUCGUCCUCUUAACCAAGAACGCCGAGGUGAGGGCGAUCUUCAACUUGAUGCUUGUGGAGCCGGUUGGGGGGAAGUCGAUUGUGGUGUGCUCCUUCAAAGAGCCACUAGUGUUCGACCCUAAAAGGAUAUCUUGGGGCAAAACAAAGUUCAUGAAGACCACCACUGAAGUAGAAUCGCUUUACCUGCGAAAUGAUUGUCUCGUGAUCGAGUGCGAAGUCAGUGUUAUCAAGGAAACACUCGAGGUCCACGUCCCGCCGUCCCGCCUUUUGGAUAAUCUUGCAAAAUUACUAGAGGGCAAGAAAGGAGCAGACGCGACUUUCAAGGUGCAAGGGGAGGUUUUUUCUGCUCAUAAGGUUUUGCUUGCGACGCAAUCAGCAGUCUUCGACGCGGAGUUCUACGGGCCGAUGGGGGACAAAAGGGGCGCAAGACAUAACUAUUGA